GAAAAUUCCCAAGAAGAGAUACUGAAAAUCAGUGAUCCAGUUCUGAAGAUGCUCAUGAGCUAUGGUUUAUUUGCACUAUUUAUGCACAGAAACAGAGGAGGAAACUACACAGUGUGCCUGGAGGGAAGCAAUGGGACAGGGUUUCUGGGAAGCAGGUAAGUAAACAGAUGCACGCACAUAUUCACCUCAGAAGUCCCAUGGCAGGAAGCCCUUCUCCCUCUGCUUUUCAGGAGUGCAUUUUUCAUGCUAUGCAUGCCAUCUCCUCCAUGCUUUUAUUACUUGUGUGUAUACCUGGUUCAUUCAUUGCUGGGGUGAAACUGCUUUGAAGGUCCAUUUAUGUUUUAAUUAAUUGUCUUUGAAUCUGUAGCUUUAACAUGGUGCCUAGUGUACAUAAGCAGUCAAUAACUGUUUCUUUAAAGUCCCACUUCCCAAUGCAGAAGGCGCAAGGUCCAUCUGCCAAAGCAUUGCUAACAGCUGCCAAGGCAAACAUAAUGCAAUCGUGCAACACUGCUGCCCUCGAAGAAGUCAUUCCUUUAAAACGUCAGUGAAGACAGGAAAGUCCAAGACACAUUCCUCCAGAAACACAUGCAAACACUCACUGUGGAAUGCCUUGGCGUUCUCUCUUAAGAAUAGCUCAGUGAGAGCCCAGCAGAGAGGAAAACGAAACCAGAGACUAACAUGUGGUCACAGAGAGGGUGCACCUCACCAGGACUGUGAGGCAGGGUCAAGUGGAUGGGCAAGAUCAACAGUUUUCAGUGGGGAGAUUGUGCGUGGAUUAUUAUUUGUUAAAGUCCACUUGCAGACAGUGGUCUGUAUACAAAUAAAAUGCUUUUAAACUAACA